GCGGGUAUAGCUCAGUUGGUAAAUCAUCUCAAUUAUAAAUCUGAAGGUCAUGUGUUCGAUCCACAUUAGCCGCA
rnacentral:tRNA from 1 species